CAGGUAGGACAGAAAACCUAUUGCACUGUGGUGAUCUGUUUGUUUUUUAGUAAUAAUUGAAUGUCAUGCACAGGUCACAACGCACUACUGAAUUAUUUUCACGUCACAGCAGAGUGGAUGGUAAUGGACUGUGGGGUCUGAGGAUGGGUGCAUACAUUCACCUGAAUGUCAGACAGAUGGCGUAGAGGUGGAGGUGUACUGAUGUUGGUGGAGGCAGAAGCAGAUGGAUAAGAGAUGCUGGUGGCAGAAGACGACAGAUGACACCUGGUGACUGCAACAGGAAGAAAAAUAUGCAAAGGUGUAGGAGACCGAAGCGGCGAUUGAGAUAGAAGAGGCUUAGAGAGAAAUAGCUUUCGCUACCACUGUCAGCCAGCGGAUUCCAAAGAAAGGGGAUUCUCCUAGAGCACCAAGGAAACCUGCAUCUACGAGUGACACAGAGGGGCCUGAGAAGAGCAUGCAGAAGAACUGGCUUUUGCGGAUGCAGAAGUUAUGUAAAAUCAACGAAAAACAUUAAUAUGAAGUAGACGUCACAUGGGAGGUGAUGCUUCCCUUUGACCAUAACAGCUACGGCUGAGAUGAAGUGUAAACGUCCGUUACGCGGUUUCUGAACAUGACCACAUAUCGCUGAGGAUUCAGAAAUACGCUGGAGGGAUUAUCUAGAGAGAUCCAUUUUUUUAGGGUCACAGAAUAAAUGAGGGGGUGGGGUGUGUAAACCUAAAGAUGAAAAAAAAUCUAAUUUAAUGGAGAAAAAGUUGACAUCACAAUAAGAGAGAGAAAAAACACACAUCCACAAAGUAUCUGACCAUUUGGAUACCCAGGGUCAUGAAGAGCAGAGCUCAGCUUUGAUGUUCCUGACAAAAGAGAGUCAUAUUACUAUAAUGAUGCAAGAGCAUGAUGGUCCAGCUGUAGGCAAUUAACACGAGCGAUGAAGGUUACCUGGCGCGCCCUGCUGAGACGGAUGGCAGCUCCGUUAUUUGGAAACAAAAAAAAGGGAAAAGCACAGAUGAAGUAGGACAGCUUAAGUCUCUUCGAGAGCAAGAUCACCUUUUGGGCUCAACUGUGACUUCAAGAUACAAAUCAAUGUCCUUGCCUAAUCAUUUUGUCCAUUGAUGCCGGGUCCAUACUUUCUCAUUAAUUUCUAGUUCUAGUCACAAUUAAAUAUAACAAUAGGCCUUUAUUUGUUUUACUUAUUGUCUUUGUUUUUUUACCUUUUUGACGACCUAUUUUUUUUUUACUUUUUAACUCUUACCCUGAAUUUCAAUUGCGCUGUGACACCAAGUCAAAUUCCUGCGCGGUUGGGGAAUAAACUGCUGCUGAUUCUG